rnacentral:lncRNA from 1 species
GGGAGGCUAGGGAUAGCAAGCCAGUAAUUAAUAUUAGGCUCUUUUUGCCGAGGGGUCGAGUUAAGGGUAGGCUAAGAAAGUUGCAUGACAAUUAAUUAAUCAAGCUAAUAAUUCAAGAGGAGUAGAUAACAGAGAGCGGAUAAAGAUGAAAUUGUAAAUCCCUAAAAACUCUAUUCAUCCAUUGUUUUCUUCUUGUCAUUUGAAUCAAUCUCUUUUACAUGUUCAUAUUUUAUUCUCUAACCCAAUUUAUUAAUUUUUAUUUUCAAGUCUUAUUAUUUUAAUUCACGCGAACGAGAAAGCCUUUCGAGUCUCUUGGGAAAACAAUACUUGGUCUUACCAUUUUUAUUAC